GCACACCUUCAAUCCCAGCACUCGGGAGGCAGAGCCAGGUGGAUCUCUGUGAGUUCAAGGCCAGCCUGGUCUACAGAGCGAGAUCUAGAACAGCUGCUGUUCAGAAAGCACCAGCUCAAAAGAGACAAAAGCCUUUUCUCAGGUUCCUACAAAAUGAGUGAAUGUGCUUUGAUUAAAGACGAGAUCCAGAACUUCUGACAGCACCGAAAACCGGCGACCCUCGGGGGAAAUGCUUCUGAAAGUCACUUACCAACUUUGAGGAAGGUUUUCAGCUCCAAAGGUCUCAGCACUGGCUGCUUCUCUAUUCGGCCGUAGGUUUCUGCUAUGCUCUCUACUUCCACUUUAGGGCAUUUAAACAGCUCGUAAGUCCCAUCCCGGUUCUGGAUAAAGCUCCGUGUGAUUUCCAGGGGCAUCUGGACACAGAGACAGAUAACAGAGACAUAGAAAACUUGACAUACGUGCAUCUUGGGUGCCAUUAGGUCUCUCAAGAUUCUUUUUAUCUUUUAAAAAUAUCAAUCUUA